rnacentral:rRNA from 1 species
GGGUUGUGAGGUUAAGCGACUAAGCGUACACGGUGGAUGCCCUGGCAGUCAGAGGCGAUGAAGGACGUGCUAAUCUGCGAUAAGCGUCGGUAAGGUGAUAUGAACCGUUAUAACCGGCGAUUUCCGAAUGGGGAAACCCAGUGUGUUUCGACACACUAUCAUUACGUGAAUACAUAGCGUAAUGAAGCGAACCGGGGGAACUGAAACAUCUAAGUACCCCGAGGAAAAGAAAUCAACCGAGAUUCCCCCAGUAGCGGCGAGCGAACGGGGAGCAGCCCAGAGUCUGAAUCAGCAUGUGUGUUAGUGGAAGCGUCUGGAAAGUCGCACGAUACAGGGUGAAAGUCCCGUACACAAAAGUGCAUGUGUUGUGAACUCGAAGAGUAGGGCGGGACACGUGGUAUCCUGUCUGAAUAUGGGGGGACCAUCCUCCAAGGCUAAAUACUCCUGACUGACCGAUAGUGAACCAGUACCGUGAGGGAAAGGCGAAAAGAACCCCGGCGAGGGGAGUGAAAAAGAACCUGAAACCGUGUACGUACAAGCAGUGGGAGCCCCACCACCAA